ensembl:snoRNA
UGCUGACCUGCCUUCUCCCCGCUCUGCCCAGGGCUCCCGGGAGCCAGGGGAAACGCUGCCCCGGAAGCUGAAGCA